AUUGAACGCUAGCGGCAGGCCUUACACAUGCAAGUCGAACGAGUGGCGGCCGGGUGAGUAAUGUAUCGGAACGUGCCUGGUGGCGGGGGAUCACUACUGGAAACAGUGGCUAAUACCGCAUACCAUCGGCGGGGCCGAUAUGGGAUUAGCUAGUUGGUGGGGUAAAGGCUCACCAAGGCCACGAGCCGUAGCUGGUCUGAGCGGAGGACCAGUCAAACUGGACCUGAGAAACGGUCCAGAUUCCUACGGGAGGCAGCAGUGGGGAAUAUUGGACAAUGGGCGAAAGCCUGAGGCAGCCAUGCCGCGUGUAUGAAGAAGGCCUUCGGGUUGUAAAGUACUUUAAGCGGGGAGGCGGUACCAGCAGAAUAAGCACCGGCUAACUACGUGCCAGCAGCCGCGGUAAUAC
rnacentral:rRNA from 1 species